AGCGAACGCUGGCAGCAGGCCUAACACAUGCAAGCCGAACGAAGUCUUCGGACUUAGUGGCGGACGGGUGAGUAACACGUGGGAACGUACCUUUUGGUUCGGAACAACUCAGGGAAACUUGAGCUAAUACCGGAUGAGCCCUUAGGGGGAAAGAUUUAUCGCCGAAAGAGCGGCCCGCGUUAGAUUAGCUAGUUGGUGAGGUAAAGGCUCACCAAGGCUACGAUCUAUAGCUGGUCUGAGAGGAUGAUCAGCCACACUGGGACUGAGACACGGCCCAGACUCCUACGGGAGGCAGCAGUGGGGAAUCUUGCGCAAUGGGCGAAAGCCUGACGCAGCCAUGCCGCGUGAAUGAUGAAGGUCUUAGGAUUGUAAAAUUCUUUUACCAGGGACGAUAAUGACGGUACCUGGAGAAAAAGCCCCGGCUAACUUCGUGCCAGCCGCCGCUGUAAAAC
rnacentral:rRNA from 1 species